UGGGCGUUAAGUUGCAGGGUAUAGACCCGAAACCCGGUGAUCUAGCCAUGGGCAGGUUGAAGGUUGGGUAACACUAACUGGAGGACCGAACCGACUAAUGUUGAAAAAUUAGCGGAUGACCUGUGGCUGGGGGUGAAAGGCCAAUCAAACCGGGAGAUAGCUGGUUCUCCCCGAAAGCUAUUUAGGUAGCGCCUCGUGAAUUCAUCUCCGGGGGUAGAGCACUGUUUCGGCUAGGGGGCCAUCCCGGCUUACCAACCCGAUGCAAACUGCGAAUACCGGAGAAUGUUAUCACGGGAGACACACGGCGGGUGCUAACGUCCGUCGUGAAGAGGGAAACAACCCAGACCGCCAGCUAAGGUCCCAAAGUCAUGGUUAAGUGGGAAACGAUGUGGGAAGGCCCAGACAGCCAGGAUGUUGGCUUAGAAGCAGCCAUCAUUUAAAGAAAGCGUAAUAGCUCACUGGUCGAGUCGGCCUGCGCGGAAGAUGUAACGGGGCUAAACCAUGCACCGAAGCUGCGGCAGCGACACUCAGGUGUUGUUGGGUAGGGGAGCGUUCUGUAAGCCUGCGAAGGUGGCCUGUGAGGGUUGCUGGAGGUAUCAGAAGUGCGAAUGCUGACAUAAGUAACGAUAAAGCGGGUGAAAAGCCCGCUCGCCGGAAGACCAAGGGUUCCUGUCCAACGUUAAUCGGGGCAGGGUGAGUCGACCCCUAAGGCGAGGCCGAAAGGCGUAGUCGAUGGGAAACGGGUUAAUAUUCCCGUACUUGGUGUUACUGCGAAGGGGGGACGGAGAAGGCUAUGUUGGCCGGGCGACGGUU
rnacentral:rRNA from 1 species